UGCCCAGCAACUCCUAUCCCUACUGCCUCACGGUACUGGCCGCGGUACGAGUAACCUUAGGGAAGAUCGGGUAACCAACCCUGGUGGGAGCUUCGGUCGUUUGUUGACAGGGAAGG
rnacentral:ribozyme from 1 species